GUCCACGCCCUAAACGUUGAUUACUCGUUGUUGGCGAUAUACAGUCAGCGACCAAGCUAAAGCGUUAAGUAAUCCACCUGGGAAGUACGACCGCAAGGUUGAAACUCAAAGGAAUUGACGGGGGCCCGCACAAGUGGAGGAGCAUGUGGUUUAAUUCGAUGAUACGCGAGGAACCUUACCUGGGCUUGAAAGUUAGUGACGUUCUGUGAAAGCAGAAUUCCUUCGGGGCGACAAACUAAGGUGCUGCAUGGCUGUCGU
rnacentral:rRNA from 1 species